AUUGAACGCUGGCGGCAUGCUUUACACAUGCAAGUCGAACGGUAACAGGCCGCAAGGUGCUGACGAGUGGCGAACGGGUGAGUAAUGCAUCGGAACGUGCCCAGUCGUGGGGGAUAACGCAGCGAAAGCUGUGCUAAUACCGCAUACGAUCUAUGGAUGAAAGCGGGGGACCGUAAGGCCUCGCGCGAUUGGAGCGGCCGAUGUCAGAUUAGGUAGUUGGUGGGGUAAAGGCUCACCAAGCCAACGAUCUGUAGCUGGUCUGAGAGUACGACCAGCCACACUGGGACUGAGACACGGCCCAGACUCCUACGGGAGGCAGCAGUGGGGAAUUUUGGACAAUGGGCGCAAGCCUGAUCCAGCAAUGCCGCGUGCAGGAAGAAGGCCUUCGGGUUGUAAACUGCUUUUGUACGGAACGAAAAGGUUUGGGUUAAUACCCUGGGCCGAUGACGGUACCGUAAGAAUAAGCACCGGCUAACUAUGUGCCAGCCGCCGCCGUAAUAC
rnacentral:rRNA from 1 species